rnacentral:rRNA from 1 species
AUGAACGCUGGCGGCGUGCCUAAUACAUGCAAGUCGAGCGAACAGACGAGGAGCUUGCUCCCCUGACGUUAGCGGCGGACGGGUGAGUAACACGUGGAUAACCUACCUAUAAGACUGGGAUAACUUCGGGAAACCGGAGCUAAUACCGGAUAAUAUAUUGAACCGCAUGGUUCAAUAGUGAAAGACGGUUUUGCUGUCACUUAUAGAUGGAUCCGCGCCGCAUUAGCUAGUUGGUAAGGUAACGGCUUACCAAGGCAACGAUGCGUAGCCGACCUGAGAGGGUGAUCGGCCACACUGGAACUGAGACACGGUCCAGACUCCUACGGGAGGCAGCAGUAGGGAAUCUUCCGCAAAGGGCGAAAGCUUGACGGAGCAACGCCGCGUGAGUGAUGAAGGUCUUCGGAUCGUAAAACUCUGUUAUUAGGGAAGAACAAAUGUGUAAGUAACUAUGCACGUCUUGACGGUACCUAAUCAGAAAGCCACGGCUAACUACGUG